UCCUAGUAUCUCCCUCUAAUUCAUUCAUGUCUUAGCGGGUCGUAAAGGUUGCUAAAUAAAUUUGAAUUCUUUUUUUAAAUAAUUACUUUACACUAAAUUUGUAUGGUAAAUAUUUAAGAAUUCUACAAUU
rnacentral:snoRNA from 17 species